rnacentral:rRNA from 1 species
UACGGAGGGAACUAGCGUUGUUCGGAAUUACUGGGCGUAAAGAGUACGUAGGCGGUUAUUCAAGUCAGAGGUGAAAGCCUGGAGCUCAACUCCAGAACUGCCUUUGAAACUAGAUAACUUGAAUCACGGAGAGGUUAGUGGAAUUCCGAGUGUAGAGGUGAAAUUCGUAGAUAUUCGGAAGAACACCAGUGGCGAAGGCGACUAACUGGACGUGUAUUGACGCUGAGGUACGAAAGCGUGGGGAGCAAACAGG